rnacentral:rRNA from 1 species
AGGCCCUACGGGGCGCAGCAGGCGCGAAAACUUUACAAUGCGGGAAACCGUGAUAAGGGAACACCGAGUGCCAGCAUCAUAUGCUGGCUGUCCAGAUGUGUAAACUACAUCUGUUAGCAAGGGCCGGGCAAGACCGGUGCCAGCCGCCGCGGUAACACCGGCGGCCCGAGUGGUGACCGUUAUUAUUGGGUCUAAAGGGUCCGUAGCCGGUUUGGUCAGUCCUCCGGGAAAUCUGAUAGCUUAACUGUUAGGCUUUCGGGGGAUACUGCCAGGCUUGGAACCGGGAGAGGUAAGAGGUACUACAGGGGUAGGAGUGAAAUCUUGUAAUCCCUGUGAGACCACCUGUGGCGAAGGCGUCUUACCAGAACGGGUUCGACGGUGAGGGACGAAAGCUGGGGGCACGAACCGGAUUAGAUACCCGGGUAGUCCCAGCCGUAAACUAUGCUCGCUAGGUGUCAGGCAUGGCGCGACCGUGUCUGGUGCCGCAGGGAAGCC